ensembl:lncRNA
ACUUGCCUGAGGUGACACAGGCGCUGUUCUAAAGGCUUUCCGUAGAUUAAUUAACUUCAUCCUCACUAUAGCUCUACAAGUUUGAGGAUUAUUCUUUCCUGUUUAUAUAUAUAUCAAUAGGAGAAGAAGGGAGCGACAGAGAAUGAAAUGAUUGGAUGGCAUCACUGAAUCAAAGGACAUGAGUUUGAGUAAACUCCGGGAGAUAGUGAAGGACAGGGAAGUCUGGCGUGCUGCAGUUCAUGGGGUCACAGAAUUGGACACGACUUAAUGACUUAGCAACAAUAACAAACAUUUAACAUGAGAUCCUUUGCCUUAACAGAAAGAAUUGUUGCUUAUGGUUCCAUGAAGACCACCUGGAAAAUGAGUUGGAGUGACUGUUCACUUGAGUCUUCAUUUAGCUCACUUCAUGAGAUUUACUGUUAAAAAAAAGAACCACCAGUUUUACACUCACCUCUUCCCCAUUUAUCAGCUUUGGUAGCCAGUCUGCUUUCAUUCCC